GCCUAUUUAAACUGCGUGCACAUAUCUUUGCUAUCAUAGUGGAUUCAUUAGAAUUGUUAUUCUCUAUAGAAAUGUCUUCAACUAUUUUGCAAUAAUUUACAUAAUAAACAUUCCUAUAAAUUCUUUGUUGGUCCUAUAAAAUGUACUGUUGAAAAGUUCUAGAAUUUGAUCCUGUUGAUGAUAGGAUAAUUCCCAUAAAGUAAAAGAUGAGUCUCAAAUGAUGUAAUCAAUGUCCUAGCUGGCUUGAAUCCAUCUUAAGUCAUUCCACCAUCCAGUGACAGUAUGGGACAAAAUAUGUUUUGUAAAUAAAACAUGGCUACAUGUAAGCAUCAAACAGAAUUUAAUAGAUCAAUUCAAACAAAAAUGGCUAGCAAGCCAACAGGAAUCACCAAAAGCAUUAAAUUAUCGUUUAUUUAAAGAUACUUUGGAGUUUGAGAAAUAUUUAAAUAUUUUGGAUGACAGGCAGAUAUUCUUUUUUCUUAAGUUUCGAACUUUGAACAUGAAAUUUCCAAUAGAAACUGGAAGAUGGCA
rnacentral:lncRNA from 1 species